rnacentral:ncRNA from 2 species
GCUUGGUGCUUAGCUUCUUUCACCAAGCAUAUUACACGCGGAUAACCGCCAAAGGAGAA